rnacentral:rRNA from 1 species
UAAUACGAAGGGGGCUAGCGUUGCUCGGAAUUACUGGGCGUAAAGGGAGCGUAGGCGGACGAUUAAGUUGGGGGUGAAAUCCCAGGGCUCAACCCUGGAACUGCCUCCAAAACUGGUCGUCUUGAGUAUGGGAGAGGUAUGUGGAACUCCGAGUGUAGAGGUGAAAUUCGUAGAUAUUCGGAAGAACACCAGUGGCGAAGGCGACAUACUGGCCCAUUACUGACGCUGAGGCUCGAAAGCGUGGGGAGCAAACAGGAUUAGAUACCCUGGUAGUCCACGCUGUAAACGAUGAGAGCUAGUUGUCGGCAUGCAUGCAUGUCGGUGACGCAGCUAACGCAUUAAGCUCUCCGCCUGGGGAGUACGGUCGCAAGAUUA